CUGUCGCUGAGUGGGCUGCGGCUUGGCAUUAUAUAGAGCCUAAUCCAAUCACAUUUAAUGCCAGUAGCUGGCAGUGUUUCAAGCGAACAAACAAAUUGUGGAGCCGCCAAUCAAGUCACUCAAACCAAAGCUCAAAAUCAUUGCCACAGUGCUGUAGAAAAUUCGCUGAAUGCCAAGAGAAUAUUCAAUUGAUUGUCGGCC
rnacentral:lncRNA from 1 species